rnacentral:rRNA from 1 species
GACGAACGCUGGCGGCGUGCCUAAUACAUGCGAGUCGAGCGGACUGAAUGGGAGCUUGCUCUUGUUCGGUCAGCGGCGGACGGGUGAGUAACACGUGGGCAACCUGCCCGCAAGACCGGGAUAACUCCGGGAAACCGGAGCUAAUACCGGAUAACACCGAAGACCGCAUGGUCUUUGGUUGAAAGGCGGCGCAAGCUGCCACUUGCGGAUGGGCCCGCGGCGCAUUAGCUAGUUGGUGAGGUAACGGCUCACCAAGGCGACGAUGCGUAGCCGGCCUGAGAGGGUGACCGGCCACACUGGGACUGAGACACGGCCCAGACUCCUACGGGAGGCAGCAGUAGGGAAUCUUCCGCAAUGGGCGAAAGCCUGACGGAGCGACGCCGCGUGAGCGAAGAAGGCCUUCGGGUCGUAAAGCUCUGUUGUGAGGGACGAAGGAGCGCCGUUUGAAGAAGGCGGCGCGGUGACGGUACCUCACGAGGAAGCCCCGGCUAACUACGUG